rnacentral:rRNA from 1 species
UACGUAGGGCGCAAGCGUUGUCCGGAAUUAUUGGGCGUAAAGAGCUCGUAGGUGGCUUGUCGCGUCGUGCCGUGAACGCCAUGGCUUAACUGUGGGUCUGCGGUGGAUACGGGCUGGCUAGAGGUAGGUAGGGGGCAACCGGAACAAACGGUGGAGCGGUGAAAUGCGUAGAUAUCGUUUGGAACGCCAAUGGUGAAAACAGGUUGCUGGGAGUGUGCUGACGCUGAGACACGAAAGCCAGGGGAGCAAAACGGGG